GAAAUUGAAUUAAUUUUUAUUUACCUUUCUUCUUUGUUUUUCUUCUUCUUUUUUUUUUUUUUUUAUAGCAGCCUUCAGAACCCUUGAGGGAACUUCUGAGGACCUUGGGACUUAGCCAAGCAGUGGGUGCUUACACAUUGCAUGUACUGUCACCCCUGUACAGAGCUUUAAAUAAUAGAGUCAUAGAAUGAUUAAGGUUGGAAAAGACCACUAGAAUUACCUAGUCCAACCCUUAACCCUUCCCCACUAUGCCCAGUAAGUCAUGUACAUAUAAUACAAUACAGUAUCCCACAUCAUUUUACAACUGAUCCACAUACGUUACAAACGAAUGACACCCUAAUAAGAGAAGCAAACAGUGAAACCUUUAAUAUUUCCAUAAUCUCAGCGGGUCUACAUUUUGUGUGCACAUUGUAACAUUGCAGGAUAGGCUAAUGAUAAGAAAGUAAUAAUGCCAUGUGAAAUUUGGGAGUCCUCUGACCUUCAGACAGCCCAUGUUCUUAUUGUUUCCAAAACCAAAUAGAUCCAUCAAAUUUUCCAUUCAUUACCAACAACCAAAUGCUGUUGCAAAAACUGAUGCAUACCUGACAUCCAGUAGCAUGACGUAUGGAGUAAACUGGAACCAGUGUUGGCUACAAACAACUCAAAAAACACCAGCAGGAUUUACAUGAAAGGAAGAGUAUGAGGGAUUGAGGCAGCUGCCAAAUGGGUGUCAGGUGACAAGUUUGAUUUCCACCCCUGUGUGCGCUCCGCUAUGUGGCUGGUCCAGCUGACCAAGCACUGUGCUUCAGUGGCUGUCAGCCUCCUACAAGCAGCUGUGUUUUACAUGUCUGUUAACGUUUGCAAAUGUCUAGCUGCAUUUUCUGAAACUCCCCAUUAAAUGUUAGCUUGAGUGUGUUGAUCAGGAAGGACAACUCUACGUGGUUUGCAAGCGACCCUCAUGUUUCACCCCUGCAGCAGAGCCCUAUGGUUGCUGGUGCUGAGAUUUGAGCACUGGGCUUGCCAGAGGCAAAGUGCCCUUGGCAUCUGCUGGCCCCUUCUGUGGGUUCCACUGCAAGCAAUAAUUGAGCUUUUAUGUUG
rnacentral:lncRNA from 1 species